GGGAGCCACUCGGGCUGGUGCCUCCGUCGCGUCCGCCCGCUGUCCCGCGUGUGUGUGUGUAUGUGUGUGUGUGUUGUGCCGCCGCCCGCACGCCCUCUCGCACGCCCACGACGCCCACCACAGCCACCACCGCUGUUGGGCGGGGGAAAGGUGGCUCACUGAUGGAGACCAGACUGGCUCCCUCUAUAGGUGUGCCAGUAGUUGAAGAGAGUGCAGCAGCAGCAGCAGCAGCAGAAGUAGCAGUAGCAGCAGCAACAGCGGCAGCGAAAGCAGCAGCAGCAGCAGCAACAGCAGUAGCAGCAGUAGUAGCGGCAGCGGUAGCGGCGGCGGCAGCACCAAGCAAGCUAUCAGCGAGUGCUAGUGUGUUGUAGCAGUGGCAGGUGCUGAUGUAGCCCUGGGCUACCAGUGACGCCCUUCAGAGGCCCAGUGUUGACACCGUGCAAUGUGUGUUGCCCUCGUGUGCCCCGCCCACCAUGGCCCACCGCCCGUCCCUCGCCAGUCCGCCCACAGUCCGCCCACCUCACGCCCGCCAGUGUCCCGGUGAGCCGGCCCCAGUGUCGUGCCCCCACGGGUAUUCGAGGGUGUGAGGCGGGGAGGAGGCAGGCAGGCCCCGGGGUGUGAGUGUAAGGGCAGGGGCGGGGAGAGCCAGCCCCGGGGUGAUGGGUUAGUGGGCCCCGCGGGUGUGUGAGAGGGGCCGGUGAUCUACUGCAGCUGCCGGCCGCCGCCACCACCACCAAGCCGCCCGGCAGCCAUGUCCAUGUCCUUCUUCACGUUCCCCGUGCCUCGCUUCUUAUUUCGGGGCUCCGGCGACGCCCGAGACGACAAGGCACAUCAGCAGAGCCGUCAAAAAGAAUCCAAGUCCAACAAAUCCUACGAGAGCUCCGAUCACCAGCAGCAGCUCUCAGGGUCACUACCCAAACUCAGUAGCCAAGAUGACGACGGCCCCAACACUCAGACCAACUACACAGGAACGGGAAAUUUCGAGCCCAUUCCCCACGACCACGACUUCUGCGAGAGAGUCGUCAUAAACAUAAGCGGUCUUCGGUUCGAGACGCAACUCCGGACGUUGAACCAGUUUCCGGAGACCCUACUGGGGGACCCGGCGCGUCGGAUUCGCUACUUUGAUCCUCUACGAAAUGAGUACUUCUUCGAUCGCAACCGGCCCAGUUUCGACGCCAUCCUAUACUACUAUCAGAGCGGAGGGAGGCUCAGAAGACCAGUCAACGUGCCACUCGAUGUCUUCGCGGAGGAGAUUAAGUUUUACGAGCUCGGUGAGAUCGCCACCAAUAAAUUCAGGGAGGAUGAGGGCUUCAUCAAGGAGGAGGAGCGGCCGCUGCCGGAGAACGAAUUCCAAAGGAAAGUGUGGCUGCUGUUUGAGUACCCGGAGAGCUCGCAGAACGCUAGAGUGGUUGCCAUCAUCUCCGUCUUCGUUAUCCUCCUUUCCAUUGUGAUCUUUUGCCUUGAGACACUACCGGAAUUCAAGCACUACAAGGUGUUCAAUACCACGACCAACGGCACUGUGGUGGAAGAGGACGAGGUGCCCGAAGUCACGGAUCCAUUCUUCCUCAUAGAGACCAUUUGUAUCAUUUGGUUCUCCACUGAACUAUUAGUGAGAUUUUUCGCAUCGCCACUCAAGGGAGCGUUUUUGAAAGACGUCAUGAACAUUAUCGAUAUAGUAGCUAUCAUUCCUUACUUUAUUACGUUGGCGACUGUGGUAGCCGAGGAGGAGGGCGAGGUGAUGGUCAUCCCUGCAGAGACACUUUCCCCGCACGAAAAGGGGUCAAACCAGGCCAUGUCCCUAGCCAUACUACGAGUUAUUCGACUGGUCCGAGUAUUCAGAAUAUUCAAAUUGUCUCGACACUCCAAGGGUCUCCAGAUUCUCGGAAGAACGCUCAAGGCCUCCAUGAGGGAACUCGGUCUCCUAAUAUUCUUCCUCUUCAUCGGCCCGUGGGUGUGUGGGGUAAAAUCGUCGGGUCACUGUGCGCCAUCGCCGGCGUGCUCACCAUCGCUCUUCCUGUGCCCGUCAUUGUGUCAAACUUCAACUACUUCUAUCAUCGGGAGACCGACCAGGAGGAGAUGCAGAGUCAAAACUUCAACCACGUCACCAGUUGUCCCUACCUGCCUGGCACUGUUGGCCAGCACCUGAAGAAGGACUCUUUAUCCGAGUCGUCUUCAGACAUCAUGGAGCUUGAAGAGGGAGUCUUACUGUCGCACGACCUCAGUAAAAAGCAGAAUUGCAACCCGCGCCACAACAACAAUAUAAACGCUAUGAGCAUCGAAACUGACGUCUGACACUUGUGUGGCAGGAAGGAUUCAAGCAGUGCCAAUACUGAGUGCACAAAGUAACUACAAAGUGGGUCAGGCUGCCGCGCCACCUUCACCCUCAAGCGGAGGAGGCAUCCCAGAGCAGCACAGGGUCGCGUGGGGUCAGGAGGUCAUCCAGCAUAUUGAUUCGAGACAAAUUUGAGAUGCAUUCAUUGGUCACCAUUAGUUCUUAACAUUAGUCAAAGGGGAAAAUGUAAAUAUGAUAGUCAUUUUCAUAUUUCAAAUUAUGUAUUUUUGUAUAAUUCUGCAUCUUCUAGAAUUCUGGAUAUUGACUCGCACCUUUCACAUUCGGCAUUAACAGUGAUAAUAGUCAUGAGUUCAAGAAAUAAAACGAAAUUUCAGCAACUCGGCUACUCUACAGGGUUGAUUGAAAAAGAAAACGGUAUCCGGUCCCCCCUCCAUUAAAAAAAAAACAAAUGGAUUGUGAAAUUGGGCAUUAUAUUAUUAAGUGGAGAUCUUAAAUGACUCCAACCCAAGACGUCCACUCCUGACCCAGCCAGACCCAAGUGUGGCGAAUCAAAACAAUGCGAGCGAUAGAUAGAUAGAUGAGAGAGAGAGAGAGAGAGAGAGAGAGAGAGAGAGAGAGAGAGAGAGAGAGAGAGAGAGAGACAGAGAGAGAGAGAGAGAGAGAUGCUGCAGAGAUGAAUCGAGAAACGUUUGAUGUACUGUACAUGUGAUAAUCCCGUAAUCUUUAAAUAGUGGAAGAAGAUAAUGAUUAAAAAAAAUGACGCAACAAAAUUAUUCAGAGGAUUUUUUUAUGCAUACGCAGUCAUUAUUACUAUUGUUAUUAUUAUUAUUAUUAUUAUUAUUAUUAUUAUUAUUAUUGUCGAGAUGAUGAUGAUGAUGAUGAUUAGCUGUUUUGGUGUCAGUUCGGUGAUCCGUUGUGAAGUCGGAGUGGUGAUUGCGAAUGGCGGGACGAAGAGGAAUCCAGCCGGCAAGGGGAGAACAAUAACAGUGGACUGCUAAGAUAUUCGUUUGGCAGCUUUCCCCCCAUCCCCUUCUUCAUUUUUUUCUCUGUUCUAAUUCCCUUUUUUUUUUUUUUUACCCUCAAUAUUUUUCUUUGUUCAUUUCAGCCUCCUCCUCCUCCUCCUCCUCCUCCUCCUCCUCCUCCUCCUCCUCCUCCUCCUCCUCCUCCUCUUCGAGUUCAUUUUUAUAAUUAAACAAAUUUAGAGACUGCCUCUCUCCCUUUUUUUAAUCCCUUCCUUCUGUCUCAAACAAAUUCAGAAAAUUAUUCGCUACCUAACCUGCCCCAGUGACGAACUUCCAAGUACUUCACGCCCUCCUCCUACUGCUCCUCCUCCUCCUCCUCCUCCUCCUCCUCCUCCUCCUCCUCUUCCUCCUCCUUCUCCUCUUCCUCCUCCUCCUCCUCCUUCUCCUCCUCCUCCUCCUCCUGUAUCAACAUCCCCAUGCUACCACCACCAUCACCACCGCAUACACGUCCCUACUCUUGCUCCGCUUCCCUGUUCUUCUUUCCUUCAUCCCACCCUCCAUGUCGUACAGGCUAGUUUUCCCUCAUUCAUCUCUCUCUCUUAGCCUCCUCUUGGUCUACCUGACUUCCCAGAGUGACUCUAGAUUGGCCCGCAGACUCUGUGGCGUGUUUCUACUUCCGUCUGAAAUCUUGCCCUUCCACUGUCACAUCAUACAUGUGAGAGCGACCCUGGAAAAUUCAUACAUCAAGCUCUGCUUCUCAGGUGAUUCACGAGCUUCACGGGGUGUCAUAAGAGUCAAGGUCCUCAAUGAAUACUCGGGGAUAGUUGCCUUGUGGUUUAUGCCCUGAAGCUGAUGCAUUGCCUCACCUUCAGACUCUCACUGUAGGAGCAUUCUAAGGUAGUGGAACCCAUAUCUACCUUCCCCCAGCUGCCCAGAGGCUCCUUCUGCAUUUACUGUACUACUCCAUUUCCUAUUUAAGCCUCUAUCUAUUAACAUCUUUUACGACUUUUCCUGCUCUCUAUCGCGGUAGCUGACUGUCCCCGGAAGUAUUACGCCUCACUCUGGAACUCCAGUGCUCCCACCUUACCCUUGUCGGAUGCCAAAUCGUCGCAAGACUACGGUAGCAGUAUUUUGUGGGCAGAUGGGGGUAGGGGUAGUUCUGGGUGAUAGGAUUGAAAGCCUUUUGGUAACUCCUUAAUGAACCUCCCCCCCUUCCUAAUGUCAUUCCAACUCCUACAUCAAUUAGAAUUUUCCCAGGUUGAACAGCAAUAAGGCAUAAACAGUCUAUUAAUACCACUGUAACUUUAAGAUUUGUUUUCUGUUCACUCUGCAUAAUAACAGUUUUUAAAUAUUAGCUCCUUACAAAGCAUUUCAUAAUAUAUUGUUGUUCAACUGUUCCCUAAUAUACAUUCUCCUGUGUUAGUCAGUCAAGUGUCGGUAUGCUAAUGUCACCAAAAUCGUCAUGUGGUAAUGUUACAUGCAGUGUCACAACUGAUGUAGUGAGUGAUAAGAGACUCGCACCGCCACCACUACCACCUACUUCCACGACCCUCCACCAAGGCUAAAUCCCGAGCCCACUGUGCAGCCACCAAGUUUCCGGAAGAACCUGAAACAUGCGCAAACGGAUGGGGAGGAACAACAAACAAAUGAGCAACGAAUGAUGCAGCUGCCGUGAUCAGACUUUCGUUACGACAAGCAAGUGGUGAUGUUUGUGCCUGAAGCAAAUUCUAUAAAGCUUUACAAAGAAUGUACAUAUUCGUUAUUCUAGUGAUCCAUUAGUUACUACUAAGAACAAUGGCCUGAUUGAAGACGGGAGGAAAGGACACUCAACAAGCAGCUGGUGUGUUCUGUGCUGGAAGUAGUAGUAGUGACAGUGGUGGAUGAAAGGGUUCGCAAACCUCGACUGAGAGUGUGCAAGGUUGAUUAUAACGCUCCAUGACACGCAGUGCCGGACUGAAAAAAAAGGGGGGAUUAGUUUUCAAACCGUCUUUUUCAAACCUGAACUGGAUAACUAUUAAGAUAUUCACCAGCGCUGUUCUAAGUGUUGGAUAAUUUUCGGGUUGUUUCGGUUUUACAGUUUAUUGGAUGGUUUGAGAUGUCAAUUCGGUGAUGUUGGUACCCCUGUGCGUGAAAAUGGCGCAGAAAGAUGCUACAUUUGUUUCAGUUACCUGGAGUUCAAUCCUUGACCUACAUCUUGAAGCACGUUUUCUAAGUACCCGCAAGCUGUUGCUCCGCCCUGGCCACCUGCUGACUCAGGGUGGGAGCACGAAACCGCAGAGAGGCUGUCCGAGCUGUCUGCUACGUGAAAACCUGGAUGAGUCAAAGCACAACAAAUCGGAGCCUAUGUAACGCGAAGAUAAAUCUACAGAAGAAUACACAUAAGUACAAUGAUUUUUCCAUGCAGACGCAGAAUCUUUGGAUGUAAACAGCAAUACAUGAAGUAUAAUUAAGGGUUUACCAAAUCAGCAAUGGUUGAAAUCAUGAACGUUUAUCGAGGGAACGAAACACGUGACAGGGUGAGCAGCAGCAGCAGCAGCAGAAGCAGAAGCAGCAACAGCAGUAAGAAGGAUUGGAAGUAGUUUUCCUCAAAUGGCACGUAUCCUCCUAGAGAGCCUCAUCCCCUCUCCACUGAAAGAGGUGCCGCCCUAUCACUCAGGAAGGAUGGUCUUAACUAUUGUAAAGCACUGACCUCGGGGAUUUCCAGUCAGUGUCGCCGUGCCGCAAGCGUGGUGGUGACGACACUCCUGCACUCUCCGAAGUCUCUAGCUUGCCCUCAGCCCCGGUGCGUCACGUAAGAACCCCUUAAGAUGAUACCAAAGUUCAUCGGCUCCUCAAAAUUAUUGGUGGUCAAUUACUGACAACUGAUGAAUGAUGCCAGAAAGUAUAAUUUGUAAUGAUUGUAAUAAUAGCGCCAGCUUCUUUAUUAUCAUGUGAUUUAUUGAUGAUUUUAUUCUCAGAUUUUAAUCGAAAUGUGAUACUGCCGCAAGUCAUCGAAGUGAGAAAAUGCAAUCUUGUGGUGUUCUUAUAAUGACGAAGCUAACCUAAGUCCAUCUUGUGUGCACUUACUGGUUCAUAGGAUUGCGGAGAGUUUUUGGCGACAGCUGCUGAGAGGAACAGAAGGAAAAAGCUAAAUUUAAGCGCAACGAAGCUGCCAUAUGAAGGGAGAGUGACCGAAGGUGAAGCAUAUAUGAUUGAACUAUUAAAAGGAAUCCAAUACUAACCAGAACCAUUUCAGUACACACUGCCCAUUCACACCCUGCAGAGACAUUUUAUGGGGUAUCAGCUGCCGAGGUGUAUGAAAAUGAAAAAAAAAAGACACGUUUUGUGUUCAUAUCAUAACUUUCACCCCUUUGCCUUUGCAUCGUUUAUGCCCAGAUUUCCUAAGUGAUGAUGUUGGAUUGUCUAAACAUAUCGUUCAUUCAAAAUAUGAAGCCUUGUCCUUUGUGUGAACCGUUCUCACUUAUUACAUUUUGAAGUUUGUGUCUUCUUUCAGUGUCCAUUUAUGUUCUUAAUUGUGCUGCUUUCCCUUCAGUCAUCAAUUUAGCCAGACAUCUACAGUGUACAUAAUAAAACUGUAAGUAAGUAUGUGGAUGACUGUACCCGGUGCUAAAUUUCCUUUACAGUCAAGGAAGAGGAUGUAAAAUAAAAUAAAAAAUAAUAAAAAAUUUGCCAUUAAGCUAUAGGUUACUUGUGUUCCAUAUCUACAAGUAAUGUAGCGCAGGAAGAUAAAAACAAGCCUAGGUCAGCAGAGCCCUGUUAGAGCAGAUAAGGUAUAUUAGCUGUUGUAGAGCUUAGGAUGAACGUGAUGGAAGUCAGACCAUUCAAAAUAAGAUCAAAGAAUCCUCGAGAUACAACGUCGGUCGCGCAAGGAAGACGACCGGGUGGGAAAGCUUCAAGGUUGAUCCACACUUUUUUUUUAUUAUUCAUUAUUAUAACUGACUACCUCCCUCUGUAAGACUGUAGAACAAACUAGGUGCAUUCACUAGUUAUCUCCAAGUACUGAGCUCACGAGGAUGUGCACUGGUGAUUAGAAAAAAAAAAUGUAUGCAUAGGAAGAAAAAGAAAGUAGAAUCGAUUAGAAAUUAUAAUCCUGAAAUAUUCCUCCACUCAGCCGCAACAACAAAAUUUACGGGAAAAAUACGAAUCAGUAAAGUUCAUCGCAAUCGCAGGCUGAGAGAAGAGAAAGAGUACGGAAAACUAGACGAUGGACAGUGUUGGCAGGCCCGGAACCUAGGCCGUUGCACGUCACACCUUACUAGUGAAGAGGUGCGCAGUGCCCUGCCUUCGGUCUGUGGGUCUAGAGUAGAGGUAGAAAAUCCAGUGAGCCGUUACCCAAAUUAAUCAACAUUAUGAUAAUUUACAUAGAACGAAGAAAACUAAUGUGACAGUUCGCCUCUCCAAGAUCUAACAAGUGCAUUGCUUCAGUGUAAAUGAGGAAAUGCAUUCAUGUUUUUAUAUGUUUCUUUCUAAAGUCCUGUAUAUAUUCUGUACAUAAUUGACUGAUUGUUUGUUUUACAUUAAGCCUGUUUAUUGUUGACGGUUUGAGAAUCUUAGAUAAUUAUUUUCUCUUGUUGCUGCAUGAGAACUUUGAACAACUUUAACCCAAGUUUUGUGGGCGUGGCCUCUUCUUCCCCGCAGUGCUUGUGAUUAGCUGACUGGGAGGAGGCCUCACCAAUCAGAACUUAAGAGUGGGCUGCCCGUCCCAAGGCGUCUGCAUCUAGUCUCAAGUUUCCUGAUCAACUCUUCUCCUUGUUGACUGUCAUGUCAGAACCAAUAAAAAAGGGGGCGGGCAUCCCAUCUAUUUGCUUCAUACUUUAUCUAGGAAGAACCUCUAGAGCAUUAUUUGCUUGCUAGAAUACAAAAAAAAAUAUUGGAAUAAGUGACCAUUAAACAUUUCAGACGGCGGUAGUUCCUUAAAUGCUGUAACUUCUUCAGCUAUUUACAACUCAGCUUAACCUAGAGAGACAAUGCAAGUGAUGCAAGGCAGGGGCCGUCUGCUGCCCGUGUGACCCGUGACUCUGGGCCGAGGGAGGCGCUCCAGAGAUCAGUGUGCGGUACGUGUGUUGUAGAAGAUAAUUCCGAGGAUACAGUGUUCGUUGUUGCCCGAUGGAAUGGUGUGAGUUGCACCCUGCGAUCCAGUGCUCAACUCACGGGGGCGCCGAACAGAGAGGGUUUAUCUGUUUGUGUGCCCUGCUGGAGCUCCCUCCUAUGGCUCACUGACAAUGAUCACGUUGUAAUGAGUGUCGGCACUUCCUCUCUUGGGUCCUUUUCUUCAUUGUCUUUCGACAUUAUAAGGUGCCAUGUACUCCCAAGUUAUCUUACUGGCUCCCUCUUCCCCCUUCUUUAUUACAUUGUAUCUAUGUUACUUUGCUUCAGACAGUUGUUUUCUUUGUCCACUCAAGGAAGGAAAAUAUUGUUAGCAAACUGCAGCUACCAAUGAAAAUGCCAACUCUUUCCAUUCUUUUCAGAAUUAUUAGUAGUGGUAUAGGGUUUCAAAUUAUUGAGACUUUCUCCAUAUAACUUUAUAAUGACUGCCUGUUAAUGUAUAUAAUACAAAUAAAAGUUGUUGGUUAGAUAACAUGACAACAAUUCAUCGUCAUCCAUUCCAAAUCAAAAUGAAGGCAGAUGACCUGUAAUUACGAGAUACUAGUCCACCUAAUUCCAGGUAUUACUGAUUAGGCUCUCUCCCUUUCCAUAUUAACCCCUGUAACCCCUCAUGUACUGAGGGCCAGAGGGAGACAACAGAGGCAUCUCGCAUAUUCUCAGGGAGAGUUUCAGAUAUUAUAGUCCUUGUAACUUAUCCCUGAAGGCUAAUGGCAGAGUUUUGUGUUGUCUCUUGCUGCUCCUCCCCUCUGCUUCUGAGUCAGAGACAUCAAUGGGUUUCCAGAGUUGCACCGUCUCGGGGGAAGGUGGAGGUUCGCAAGGCACCAAUCUGGGCUACGGGCUCCACUUUCUCCUUCUCAUACAUGUGAACCAACCAUUGAAUGUCUCUGUGAUAAUCAAGAGAACCUCACCUGUUAAAUUUUUUACGUAAUUUUUAAUCUACAUAACCCAUUGGCUUAUUCGAUGAAUAACCUCUGAAAACAUAAAUCAUUAAAAUUAAUAAUCAGAGUACAUCACAUACGAAUGAAAUUUAACUGUGUGAAGAAAAGUUGCGGUGUUAAAAUUUAGUUUAUUGAAGCACAUUACUGGACCAUUGUGCUUCAACGGCUAUAUAUAUAUAUAUAUAUAUAUAUAUAUAUAUAUAUAUAUAUAUAUAUAUAUAUAUAUAUAUAUAUAUAUAUAAUAUGUAUAUAUAUUUUUUCUUUUUUUUAUGUAUCUGCGUGAGCAUGAAGGCCAGACCCUCCCUGUCUCUCCCUCUGUUUCCCUGGCGGAAGCCCCCAAGUACCAACAAAGGGUUGACGCUUCCAUGACACGCCUGACCUCCAUGCUCCACACAUUACCAGUGGCAUAUUCAGGCUUCAAGGUAAUUCUUUUCGACUGCUUUGAAAAUCACGUUUGACUCUGCCAACACAAAACCGUUUCAUUUUAAUAAGGGGGGAUGUUAUAUGCUACAAGUUUUCAUGAACUGUAACUUUACAAAUAAAUAUAUACGUACACAAUAUUAAAAAAAUAAAAACAAUACUAAUGAAUAAACGCCAGAAUUUGCCACUUAAGCAUCAAUCUGAAGCAAACACGUAUAAGAUUUGCGGAUAUAACUUAGCACAUCCCAUUCAGCCGUUACCUGUGCCUUCUAUCCAAAGCUUCCAUGGAGCGACGUGGGUCCCGACUCUCGGCCUCACCUCGGUGCCAGGAAGUCAAGUAUUUUAUCAUUUUCUUCAUAUAGUAAUUCAUACGCCAAUCAGCUUACAGAUUUAGACGCUCAAUUUUUUCUUGACUGGAUUGAGGUGCUGUUUGAGAGUCUGGACCAAAGCCUUGUUCAACGCGCCCUUCUCAUCAUCAUGCAUUACGUCAACUAUAAGAUUUGUCUGUGUGUGCGUGUGUGUGUGUGCAUAUAUAUAUAUAUAUAUAUAUAUAUAUAUAUAUAUAUAUAUAUAUAUAUAUAUAUAUAUAUAUAUAUAUAUAUAUAUAUAUAUGCAUGCACUCCACUGUAAAGAAAAUAAAUGACUCAAUAAGAAAUGAAUUGCCAAGAUUGAGAUAUAGAAGGUAAAAGAGAGAAGAGAGGCGCCUCGUUGAAGUUGGCUGUGACCCGGGUCAGCGCUCCACUAACCCUGUGUGAUGGGAGACCAGAGCUGCGUCUACACAGGUGACAAGGUGAGCCGCGGCGAGCCUUGCCUCACCACUCUAAUCAAAUUUAUGGUCCAAUUUUUACUAUGAAAGGUUUGAAAAUACAAUUUAACAUUAAAAUUACCGUCACAUUUGUUUUACUCUAAUAAAUAUGGAUGCGACGCCUGUGUUUACAGUCUUUGCCUUCAAGUUAUGCGAUUUUCAGGUGACGUUCUCUGUAUUAAAGAAAAGUACUAGGUAUUUAAUAUUUCUUCCUUGCUAUUAAGGUCCAUUGUUGUAUAAGAUUAUGAAAAGAUUUGGACCUUGGUAGCUGCAGGAUGGACUGGAUUCAUUGAAUCCCCUCAUUAUUUUGAUCUUGUAUCAAAGUGUGUGCUUUUUCAUGCCAAUAAACUAAGAAACCAGUUAAAA
rnacentral:misc_RNA from 1 species